GCUGAAUGUGGGGAUAAUUUAUCUUUGUAUUGUAGCUAACGCGUUAAGCACUCCGCCUGGGGACUACGGUCGCAAGACUAAAACUCAAAGGAAUUGACGGGGACCCGCACAAGCGGUGGAGCAUGUGGUUUAAUUCGAUGCUACGCGAAAAACCUUACCACUUUUUGACAUGAAGGUCGUAUCCCUCCUAACAGGGGGAGUCAGUUCGGCUGGGCCUUACACAGGUGCUGCAUGGUUGUCGUCAGCUCGCGUCGUGAGAUGUUGGGUUAAGUCCCGCAACGAGCGCAACCCUCAUUCUUAGUUACCAACAGGUAAUGCUGGGCACUCUAAGGAAACUGCCAGUGAUAAACUGGAGGAAGGUGGGGAUGAUGUCAAAUCAGCACGGCCCUUAUAAGGUGGGCUACACACGUGCCACAAUGGCAACUACAAUAGGUUGCGAGACCGCAAGGUUUAGCUAAUCCAUAAAAGUCGUCUCAGUUCGGAUUGUUCUCUGCAACUCGAGAGCAUGAAGUCGGAAUCGCUAGUAAUCGUGGAUCAUCACGCCACGGUGAAUACGUUCUCGGGUCUUGUACACACUGCCCGUCACGCCAUGGAAAUUGGCUUAACUCGAAGCUGGUGUGCUAACCGAAAGGAAGCAGCCA
rnacentral:rRNA from 1 species